rnacentral:misc_RNA from 1 species
UGUAGGAGCCGGCUUGCUGGCGAUCGGUCUUAAGUUCUGCGAUGUUUUUGAAGACGCCAUCGCCAGCAAGCCGGCUCCUACA